GAGCACUCCUACGGGAGGCAGCAGUGGGGAAUAUUGCACAAUGGGCGCAAGCCUGAUGCAGCCAUGCCGCGUGUAUGAAGAAGGCCUUCGGGUUGUAAAGUACUUUCAGCAGUGAGGAAGGUGGGUAUGUUAAUAGCAUAUUCAUUUGACGUUAGCUGCAGAAGAAGCACCGGCUAACUCCGUGCCAGCAGCCGCGGUAAUACGGAGGGUGCGAGCGUUAAUCGGAAUUACUGGGCGUAAAGCGCAUGCAGGUGGUUUGUUAAGUCAGAUGUGAAAGCCCGGGGCUCAACCUCGGAAUUGCAUUUGAAACUGGCAAACUAGAGUACUGUAGAGGGGGUAGAAUUUCAGGUGUAGCGGUGAAAUGCGUAGAGAUCUGAAGGAAUACCGGUGGCGAAGGCGGCCCCCUGGACAGAUACUGACACUCAGAUGCGAAAGCGUGGGGAGCAAACAGGAUUAGAUACCCUGGUAG
rnacentral:rRNA from 1 species